rnacentral:rRNA from 1 species
UCAAGUGAAGAAGCGCAUACGGUGGAUGCCUUGGCAGUCAGAGGCGAUGAAAGACGUGGUAGCCUGCGAAAAGCUUCGGGGAGUCGGCAAACAGACUUUGAUCCGGAGAUCUCUGAAUGGGGGAACCCACCUAGGAUAACCUAGGUAUCUUGUACUGAAUCCAUAGGUGCAAGAGGCGAACCAGGGGAACUGAAACAUCUAAGUACCCUGAGGAAAAGAAAUCAACCGAGAUUCCCUUAGUAGUGGCGAGCGAACGGGGAUUAGCCCUUAAGCUUCAUUGAUUUUAGCGGAACGCUCUGGAAAGUGCGGCCAUAGUGGGUGAUAGCCCCGUACGCGAAAGGAUCUUUGAAGUGAAAUCGAGUAGGACGGAGCACGAGAAACUUUGUCUGAACAUGGGGGGACCAUCCUCCAAGGCUAAAUACUACUGACUGACCGAUAGUGAACCAGUACCGUGAGGGAAAGGCGAAAAGAACCCCGGAGAGGGGAGUGAAAUAGAACCUGAAACCGUAUGCGUACAAGCAGUGGGAGCCUACUUGUUAGGUGACUGCGUACCUUUUGUAUAAUGGGUCAGCGACUUAUAUUCAGUGGCAAGCUUAACCGUAUAGGGUAGGCGUAGCGAAAGCGAGUCUUAAUAGGGCGUUUAGUCGCUGGGUAUAGACCCGAAACCGGGCGAUCUAUCCAUGAGCAGGUUGAAGGUUAGGUAACACUGACUGGAGGACCGAACCCACUCCCGUUGAAAAGGUAGGGGAUGACUUGUGGAUCGGAGUGAAAGGCUAAUCAAGCUCGGAGAUAGCUGGUUCUCCUCGAAAGCUAUUUAGGUAGCGCCUCAUGUAUCACUCUGGGGGGUAGAGCACUGUUUCGGCUAGGGGGUCAUCCCGACUUACCAAACCGAUGCAAACUCCGAAUACCCAGAAGUGCCGAGCAUGGGAGACACACGGCGGGUGCUAACGUCCGUCGUGAAAAGGGAAACAACCCAGACCGCCAGCUAAGGUCCCAAAGUUGUGGUUAAGUGGUAAACGAUGUGGGAAGGCUUAGACAGCUAGGAGGUUGGCUUAGAAGCAGCCACCCUUUAAAGAAAGCGUAAUAGCUCACUAGUCGAGUCGGCCUGCGCGGAAGAUGUAACGGGGCUCAAACCACACACCGAAGCUGCGGGUGUCACGCAAGUGACGCGGUAGAGGAGCGUUCUGUAAGCCUGUGAAGGUGAGUUGAGAAGCUUGCUGGAGGUAUCAGAAGUGCGAAUGCUGACAUGAGUAACGACAAUGGGUGUGAAAAACACCCACGCCGAAAGACCAAGGGUUCCUGCGCAACGUUAAUCGACGCAGGGUUAGUCGGUUCCUAAGGCGAGGCUGAAAAGCGUAGUCGAUGGGAAACAGGUUAAUAUUCCUGUACUUCUGGUUACUGCGAUGGAGGGACGGAGAAGGCUAGGCCAGCUUGGCGUUGGUUGUCCAAGUUUAAGGUGGUAGGCUGAAAUCUUAGGUAAAUCCGGGGUUUCAAGGCCGAGAGCUGAUGACGAGUCGUCUUUUAGAUGACGAAGUGGUUGAUGCCAUGCUUCCAAGAAAAGCUUCUAAGCUUCAGGUAACCAGGAACCGUACCCCAAACCGACACAGGUGGUCGGGUAGAGAAUACCAAGGCGCUUGAGAGAACUCGGGUGAAGGAACUAGGCAAAAUGGCACCGUAACUUCGGGAGAAGGUGCGCCGGCUAGGGUGAAGGAUUUACUCCGUAAGCUCUGGCUGGUCGAAGAUACCAGGCCGCUGCGACUGUUUAUUAAAAACACAGCACUCUGCAAACACGAAAGUGGACGUAUAGGGUGUGACGCCUGCCCGGUGCCGGAAGGUUAAUUGAUGGGGUUAGCGCAAGCGAAGCUCUUGAUCGAAGCCCCGGUAAACGGCGGCCGUAACUAUAACGGUCCUAAGGUAGCGAAAUUCCUUGUCGGGUAAGUUCCGACCUGCACGAAUGGCGUAACGAUGGCGGCGCUGUCUCCACCCGAGACUCAGUGAAAUUGAAAUCGCUGUGAAGAUGCAGUGUAUCCGCGGCUAGACGGAAAGACCCCGUGAACCUUUACUGUAGCUUUGCACUGGACUUUGAGCCUGCUUGUGUAGGAUAGGUGGGAGGCUUUGAAGCGUGGACGCCAGUUCGCGUGGAGCCAUCCUUGAAAUACCACCCUGGCAUGCUUGAGGUUCUAACUCUGGUCCGUAAUCCGGAUCGAGGACAGUGUAUGGUGGGCAGUUUGACUGGGGCGGUCUCCUCCUAAAGAGUAACGGAGGAG